UUUAUAUACCGGUAAACUCACUUACCACUCUGUCAGUGUCCAUGUGGCUGAACCGUUUGCAGAAAAGAGCCCCUGUUUCUCUGCAGCUCUGACAUGAAGGCCACCCUCCUCUCAGUGUUGGUGACAAUAUUCACACUCGGAGGAACAGGAGCUCAGACAGUGACCCAGCCUGAGGACCACAUCUCCGUCUUUGAAGGGGACUUCGUGCAGAUCAAGUGCAACUACUCGUAUUCUGGGAGUCCCAUACUCUUCUGGUAUGUCCAGUAUCCCAAACAAGCCCUCCAGUUACUACUGAAACACAUCUCAAGAGAGAGUACCAAAGGCUUCGUGGCCAACCUUAACCGAGAUGAGACAUCUUUCCAUCUGAAGAAACAAUCAGCUCAAGAGGAAGACUCAGCCACGUAUUACUGUGCUCUGAGUGACACACUAACUGAUUCUACUUUGGAUACAUAUUUGCAAAGAUUCUUUGCUCCCAGUUCCAGGAAUACAACAUGCCAGGUGGACUUGAACUUCCUUCUAGUGCUUUCUUCUCCAGAGGACUGCCCAAGUUGA